rnacentral:rRNA from 1 species
CUGUUCUACAAGUCCUCCGUUAAAUCCACCUGCUCAACAGAUGGGCUGCGGGGGAUACUAUAGAGCUAGGAGGCGGGAGAGGCAAACGGUACUCAGUGGGUAGGGGUAAAAUCCGUUGAUCCAUUGAAGACCACCAGUGGCGAAGGCGGCUUGCCAGAACGCGCUCGACGGUGAGGGAUGAAAGCUGGGGGAGCAAACCGGAUUAGAUACCCGGGUAGUCCCAGCUGUAAACGAUGCAGACUCGGUGAUGAGUUGGCUAUAUGCCAUCUCAGUGCCGCAGGGAAGCCGUUAAGUUUGCCGCCUGGGGA